rnacentral:rRNA from 1 species
UCUUGGAUUAUUACAAUUAUAUAUAUAAAGAAUCGUCUAAUAUUUAGAGUAAUGGAGAGUGAAAUAUUUAUUUCGUGUGAUAGUGAAUAAGUACCGAAAGGGACAAUGAGAUUUUAAAUUUUAUUGUAGUAGAGAUUAGAUUUUGUACCUUUUGUAUCAUGGUUUUUCUAGGUAAACUUAAUAUUUAAGGUCACCCGAAAAAAACUGAGCUAUUUUUUAACAUGGCGUUAACGUAGUAAAGUUAUGCUUAGAUUAAAAAAUAGGAGUGAUAUGCUUUUCGAAGUUUUUGAUUGCUGGUUGGUCAAGAAAUGUAUCAAAGUACAGUUUUACUAUAUACUUUGUACUGAUUUGUUCAGGUAACAACAGUUUAAAUGUUCGUAAAACUCACCCUUGAAAGGAUAAGCUUUUAAGGGAGAUUAAGAAAAACUUAGGAGCGAAUUUCUAUUUAGUGGGCUUAGAGUUGGUCAUCUAGUUAGUAAAGUUUUUUAUAAAAUAGUUAAGAUUAAUAAAAUUCGUUAAGAUAUCUAAAUUUUUCUAUAAUUUUAAUUAUUAGGUAUUGGCCCUAUUGAUUUAACUGAUUUAUUAAUUCGUUUCUGGAAAAAUGAGUAUUCAUGUAACUUUUGUAUAUUAACUUAAUUAUUUGUUAUGGAGGUUAACUGGUUAUUAAAGAUGUUGGAAUAUAAGUUGAAGACAAAAAUUAAGUUUGUGCUAAUAAUUUAGGUAAAGGAAUUCGGCAAAUAAAUUAAUGGUUCCGCCUGUUUAUCAAAAACAUCGCUCUUCGGGUAUUAGAAGUUUCAAAGAUGGAGAGUCGGACCUGCCCAGUGACUAGAAUGUUAAACGGCCGCGGUACUCUGACCGUGCAAAGGUAGCAUAAUCAUUUGCCUUUUAAUUGAGGGCUAGUAUGAAUGGUUUGACGAGAACUAAGCUGUCUCUGCCUAAAUUUUUAGAAAUUAUUCUUCAGGUGAAGAAUCCUGAAUUUAGUUGAGGGACAAGAAGACCCUAUUGAGCUUAAGUAAAAUUUCACAUAUUAGUAUGAUAAUUAUAAAAAUUUCAUUAUAUGAAAAGAAUGUGUGCUAUGAAUCUUUAGUUGGGGCGAUUAAGGAACAUAAAAAGCUUCCUUGAAAAUACUAAUAAAUAAUUGGCAAUCAUGCUAAUAGAUGAGAUCCAGUAUUUUACUGAUCAGCGGAAAAAGUUACCAUAGGGAUAACAGCGUAAUCUUUCUGGAGAGUUCUUAUCGAAAGAAGGGUUUGCGACCUCGAUGUUGGACUAAGAUAUCCUAGAGGUGUAGCAGCUUCUGAGGGUUGGUCUGUUCGACCAUUAAAAUCUUACAUGAUCUGAGUUCAGACCGGCGUGAGCCAGGUUGGUUUCUAUCUUCAAUUAAAAUUAAUAAAUUUUCGGUUAGUACGAAAGGACCACCGGGUAGGAUAAAUAAUUUAUAUUGAUGGAAUGUAUCUAAUAGUUUUGUAAAUAUUAUAUAAUU